rnacentral:lncRNA from 1 species
AAAAAAAUUAGUUAGCCGCUAGCUUUUUCAUUCCCAACUAUUGGACUAGAAUUUUUCAAAAUAGAUGCUCCAAGGCAACAUCCAAUCAAAUGCUGUCCUAAUAAGCACCGAGGCAAAAAAAAGAGGAGAAAUUAGUCAAGGAAUGAAAUGAAACUACAUUUAUCUGAAAUAUUUAGCUUAUGGACCUCAGUUGGACAGGACAGUACAAUGAAUUAAAAGUUUCAGUCAAGAAGAAUAUAUGAGAACCAAACAUCCAAGGAGGUAUAUUAGUUUUUCUUAUUUAUUUAAAGUAAUUCUGUAUAUUUGUUUUAAUAUUGUUUUACGUGCCAAAUAUUUUUAUUUACAAACUCGAAGCACACGGGGGGCAUAACUAAGUAUCCAUCUUGCUCAAUAUUCUUCAUUUAUCUUCUCAUGUAAAAGGGGUUUUACUUUUUACGUAGCAUAGAGUGUUCAAUUGGCCUUAAUGCUUUUCAGGUGCAUGUCUAAUGAUAUAAAAGAUUCGUAUCCACACUCAUGUGUCUCUAGCACUAGUAAUUCAAAUUUAGAAGUCACAAAACUGCAGCUCAUAACAUAAAAAAAAGUUUCUUCUCUUCGAUUUGGUAUCCCAACCGCGGAAAUGGAAUGGCGAGGGUUAGGGCAGAAGCAAAAUAGGAUUUUGUUUGUUAGUGUGUAGUGGAGAUAAUGAAAUGAAAUGGAUUAUUCUAAGGGGCGGAAAUGAAAUGGAUUGCCAUAAGGCCCACAAAACACAAAUUUAAUCACACAAUUCAAGUUGGUGGGCCUUAGUACUUAAAAAAUUUUAAAAUCUUGGGGGGGCCAUGGCCCCCUGCAGUCUAAGCCCAACUUCGUCCCUGCCACAAAGCACAAAUUUAAUCUCACAAUUCAAGUAGGUGGACAUUAGUACUUAAAAAAAUUUAAAAUCUUGGGGGGGCCAUGGCCCCCUGCAGUCUAAAGCCCAGCUCCGUCCCUAGAAGUAGUUGUCGGAGAUAAUCGCCGCCGGAGAAAAAGAGGUGAGAGUCGGGUUGCUCACUAGUCUUGCACCGACUCCGCAUCCAUUAUACUCCAUGAAAGCAAUGGAAUUCUUAUUUUUGAGUUUUUGCUAAACUCACAGGCAUUCACCCAUACUCAUAACUGCAACAAUAGAAACUAAAUUCUUACUAUCUUGUUUCCACAAAAAGUUUUAUUUUGAUACCCCUUUUAGCGACGGACCGGGCGACGAUUCGGUCCGUCGCUAUAUAUAGGACCGUCGUCUUAACUUUUAGCGACGGACAACAUAUAACAACGGACCGAAUCGUCGCCCGGUCCAUCACUAAAAGGGGGUAUGCAAGGUAUGGAUUGUAGUUUGAUGGGUAUUGUAUAAAGUUGGGAUUUUUUUUUGUGGGAAGGUUGUUUGUAUUUCCCUUUUGGGCUUAUAGAGGAUAAAUUGGGUGUCUUAUGGUUCUUUUAAUAUAUACUCUUAAUAAUGUUGUAUGGUCAUUUUGAUGCUUGAAUUGUCUACUGUUAAGAAAAUUUGAAGUGGGUUUCUGCAUUUUAUUGUUGUUAGUGUUGAAUUAUGCUUAAAUUUUUAGAUUUUGUGUUUUGGUUUUUAAUAAUUGCUUUUACGUGUUUGACCCAGUUCAAUUCAUGAAACUUUGGUUGAGUUUUAGGGAUUUUCCUUUGUUUUGAGUUGACAAUAGUUUGAAUUCAAGAAUUUUUCUUUGUUUUGAGUUGACAGUAGUUUCAGUUUUAGGGAUUUUCCUUUGUAAAAUUUAUAAUUUGUUUAGUGGAGGAUGUGCAUACUUACUGGAGGAGGUCCCUAGUGGUAUUCUGCCUUUUGCAAUUUUUCAAUUUGCAAGCAUAAUAUAUUCCAGUCAUUUUCACUGUUUCAAAAAAAAAAAUAUAGCUUGAAUGAGUUUGAAGAUUCCUUUGCUAGUAUUCUCCCAAAUAAGUUAUCAAGCACGGGCGGUUUAAUAAUUUCUAAGUUUAAGAAUGCUAUAGAUUUGGUUGAACAAAACAUGAGUGUUUUUCUUUUCUUUUUUUUCAUUAAUUAUUAAUAUUUGGUUUCUGUUUCAAUUAUUAGGAGUUAUUGAAUCCAUAUUGAUUUGAACUUUGAUUAUUCACCUCAAUUCCUUCUGUAUUUGUGGAAAGCAGAUCCUAUGCAAUCCAAGAAUGCAUUUAAACUGUUGCAUGGACGGGGGUGUGACAAAGAUUGUCUUAUUAAUAUGUAUUUUUAAAGAUUGUAAGGCUAACUAUUGUACGGAUUUAUUGGGGAUGAGGAACUUUUCUUGUCUGGUUGGCUAACUUUUCUUGUCUGGUUGCACUUGUUUGUUCUUGGUUAUUGUUUUUAAUCAUGUUAUUGUAAAUUGGAAGUGGAUGAUUUUUGGUAAAUUGCUUAGAGUAAUGAAAGUUGUUAGGUGUAAUGAAAACCUUUGAUGUUUGCCCAAGUUUAAUUUUAACGGAAUUUCUUUUGCCCUUGUUUGGUCAAUUUCUUUGAUGUUGGGUGUAAUGAAAGUUUCGGAAUUGUUGCACUAGUGUGAAAAUUGUUGUCAAUUGUUUCCGCAAAUUGUUUGCUUGAAAUGAGGCAGUAGUUGCUAGAGCAAUGGGUGUCCUGGGUAUAUUUGGUGCUAAGUCACCUUUCCAUAUAAUACUAAUGAAAAGCAAUUGCUACCCAUGUCCUGAAGUUGUUUAUGAUUAAUGUUUGAGCAAGUAAUUGCACCUUAUUUUUUGGUGCAAGUGAGUAAUUGCUACCCAUGUGAUGGUAAAUGCAGAUGCUUUUUUAACCGCAAGCCGAAUAUAUAAAUUGAACAAAAUGAAAAAAGCAAUUGCCCAAUAUAAAUUACGUCUCUAUUUUGGAUUCGGAAAGAGAAAGAAAUUUUUUGUUUUCUAAAAAGAAUAAAGGAAAACCCCUCAUAAUGAACUUUCAGAAAACUCUUAGAACUUUUUCCAAUAUUUUCCCCCUAACUUAGUUUCAAACAAAGCCUAAGAAUUUACUUAAGACACAUUAAUCUUGCACUAAACUAAACACGAGCAAUAAAUAAAAAACUCCAACCCAUAAAAUAAAGAGUACUUGUAUACAAACAGUCUUGUUUGUCCAUUCUACAUUGGCUAACAAAGUUUCUCGGUAUGCGUAAACACACAUACAGAAUACUAAAAAUCAAAAAACUAGAAAACUAAAAGUUAAAUCUUUAAUUAUGGGAUAUCAAGGAAGC